UCGGCCCCGCCCCCGGCUCCUAGAGCCCCCCUCCCGCGCCCCAGCGCGUCCCCGCUAGCCCCGCCUGCCCCGCGCCCCCCAGCGCGCGCGCUCCCCGGGAACUGCGCAAUCUGCGCGGCCACCUGCUCUCCAGCAAGGCGUCACUCCCGCCCAGCUGUGCGAGUCAGGCCACCUCCCAGAGCCUUGGACCUGCCGGUGGCCUACCAAUCUUAGGAUCACUGCUGCCCUCGGGUGCAUCCUCCGCUGAAUGUGUGCACAGUUCCUCAGGCCACAUUUCCAGACUUUUCCAAGUCUUCUGAAGCUGGUGCCCACUGUAGUCCUGAUCUAAAAGAGAAUUUCACUUUCCACAAAGCCUGAUGAGCCAGCGCUUGCCCUCAGCUUGUCCGGCUUAGAGCACACGGUUACGUCAAUCACACUCAUUCUCCCUUCUAUUUUAUCCACUCUGACUUCUUGCCAAGGUCAAGAACCCCACUCAUACUGUGAAAGAUUAGUGCGUUUCACCUUCACUGUGUAAUUAACCCUGGGACUAAUCUUGCAAAUUGUGCAAUUAUUUAUAUUGGUACUAAUGUGCCAUCUAUAAUUUUCUCUGCACCCACUCUGUCCUGUCCCAGAAGAGGAGAUGCUCCCUGACCCUAGAUACCCACUCUACUCCGGACUGGCUUUCUUUGCCACUCCAAAACUACCUUCAACACAACUUCAAUGAAGCUUCUCAAUCCUGAGGAUGCUCAACUGCUUGCAACCCGAUGCCCCCCCCCCCCCCAAGACAUCUUGAAUACAGGAAUUAAGUUAUGUAUGGGCUGUGUUUUGCAAAUAAAAGUCAGACAAUAAAUGGCUGGGUGUUGACAUCAUUGGCUUUCAGCUGGACCUGCAUCCGCCCAUACAAAGUUCAUUCCUGAUUGAACCGAAUUCUCACACCCAAGAGAUGCUGUUCCCGGAGAAGGCGCAGACAGCCGCGAGGCAGUACCUUGGCUGUGGUCUUUCAUGUUCCUUUUAGAAUUCUCUGACUUGUACCCUCACCCAGCUCACUUUGUGGUCAGGUCGUGGAUUUUAGGGGGAGUGUAGGCCAUUGUGUCUGGUACACCUUGUUUAAAGCCACAUUCACUGCCUACUGCACUAGAGUGAAGCCUUGGGCAAAUCAGUUCUCUGAAUCAAGAUGUCUUUAUCUUUGAACUCAAGGUUCUGAAUGCUUACCAGGCUGAUAGAGGGUUCUAGGGAGCCUCUUAUACACUGAACAAACAAACACACACUGGAUCUGUGGUAACACUGGUUUUUAAUUUAUUUAUUCAUUUAUUUUUAGUGUCUUUGCUUUUAUGAGAAAUAGACUCUGGCAGUUUCUUUGUUUUCUUCUUUCUUUCAUCCUUUCUUUCCUUUUUUUUUUUUUUUUUUUUAGCCCUGGCUAUACUGAAAUUCACUCUAUAGACCAGCCUGGCCUUGAACUCAGACAUCUGCCUGCCUUCCCCACUGCCUCUCUCAAGUCCUGGAAUAGUCAUGCCUCAUCACCACUAUGACAGUUUCAAAAGAAUUUUCCUUUAAAAAUUCUGUUCUCUUAUCUCAUUUUUUUCUUUUUCUCCUUACCAAACUUUUUUGUUGUUGAUUUGUUUUUUGUUUUUGUUUUUUGUUGUUUUUUUUUUGAGACAGGGUUUCUCUGUAUAGCCCUGGCUGUCCUGGAACUCACUUUGUAGAUCAGGCUGGCCUUGAACUCAGAAAUCCGCCUGCCUCUGCCUCCCCAGUGCUGGGAUUAAAGGAAUGUGCCACCACCGCCUACCAAACUUUUCAAAAGAAUUAUCUAUGGGGCUGGAGAGAUGGCCCAGCUGUUAAGAGCACUUCUUUUUGUAGAGGACCCCAGUGGAAUACCCAGAAUUCACCCUGUGGCCCACAACCACUCAUAACUGCAGCUCCAGAGGAUAUGACACCCUCUCCUGAUAUCUGCAAGCUCCAGGCACACACAUCCUAAACACACACAGACACAUGAAUGCACACACACAGCACAACAUACAUACACACAUAAAAUAAAUCCUUAAGAAAUUAAAAAGGAAGAAUGCAUAUUUCACUGGGAAAUAGGAAAAACUGUCAAGUUAAAAGGAAUGAGUUUGGCCAGGUGACUUCGGUGGUGCACGCCUUUAAUCCCAGCACUUGGGAGGCAGAGGCAGACAGAUUCUCUGAGUUCAAGACCAGAGUGAGUUCCAGGAGAGCCAGGGUUACACAGAGAAACCCUGUCUUAAAAUCGCACCCCAUCAAAAGAGAGAGGGGGAGGGGAGUUGGAGCUGGGAGGGGUGGUCCAGGCUUUUAAUCCCAGCACUCAGGAGGCAGAGCCAGGUGGAUGGAGCUCUGUGAGUUUGAGGCCAGCCUGUCCUACAUAGUUUCUGGUCAGCCAGGGCUAAAUAGAGACCCUAUCUCAAAACCAACAGAGUUUGGAGCAUGGUGAGAAGGACUCCUGCUCCCUUUCUUUCUUUCUUCCUUUCUUCCUUCCUUUCUUCCUUUGGAAGAGCAGUCAGUGCUCUUAACCACUGAGCCAUCCCUCCAGCCCCUUCUGCUCCCUUUCUUAGCACCCUUGUGGGGAGUCUCCUAACAGCUUGUAACUUCAGCUCCAGGGGAUCCAGUGCCCUCUUCUGGCCUCUGCCCGUACCUGCACUCACAGGUACAUCACCUCCCCUCUUAAACACAUAUAUCGGUAAUUUAAAAUAAAAUGUUUUUAAAACUGA